rnacentral:pre_miRNA from 1 species
CUCUCACUCCUCAUUCACCGUUCCGUACUUCUUUGCAGCCCCAUACUUGCCCGCAUGAAGUGGUUAUGGAAUGUAAAGAAGUAUGUAAUGGUCGAGGCGAGAGC